CCUGGAAACAGAUGCUAAUACCGGAUAACAACAGAUGAUGCCUAUCAACUGUUUAAAAGAUGGUUCUGCUAUCACUCUUGGAUGGACCUGCGGUGCAUUAGCUAGUUGGUAGGGUAACGGCCUACCAAGGCGAUGAUGCAUAGCCGAGUUGAGAGACUGAUCGGCCACAUUGGGACUGAGACACGGCCCAAACUCCUACGGGAGGCAGCAGUG
rnacentral:rRNA from 1 species